GGAAUGCAGCACUCUCGAAGGACAUUUGAAGUGUGUUGUGUAUGCAUGUGUGUGUGUGUGUGUGUGUUUGUUUGUCUCCGUACUCUCCUCUUUCAUUUCCACACACAGAGGUCUUUCAGCAAAGACGAGACAACCUCCCGAGCAGGAGGAGAUCGGGCCUGCUUUCAAAGGGUCCGCUUGGACAGAAGACCAUCGUCGUGGGCGGCGAGCAAAAGGAAAAGAUGUCGCAGAUUGCUCAAACGUUUUGUUUUUCAGUAGAACCAGAGGACCCGUGCAAACACAGAAAAAUGGAAAAACACAAAUAUUAGCACCUGGACUCAAAUGUGAAAAGAAAAGGUGGAAUUAAAAGAGAAUUUGAACUUUGAAAUACAUUAGUGGCAGAGAAGGGCUUUUAUCAUCUCCUUUUCAAACGUGUUUUCACAUCCCCUCAGAUGCAACAUCACAGCACCAGCGAAUCUGACAGAGAGGAAAGUCUUUAUUUAGACUCAAAUGGGUCUCAUCUGAAAUAAUGAAUAUGUCCUUGAGAAAAACAAAACAGGCUACUCUUCUACAGAGGCAACAGAGAUGGAAGAUAAUUGUUUUCAAGUCUGGCAUUGCUGUGUAAAUGAGUUUGUUCUGUUCUUCCGCUGUGUCUUCCUUUACUCAUUCCACUCUCCUGUUCACAAACUCAUACAUCCUUUUUUCUUUAAACUUUUUCUUUGUCUUUGUUUCCUUGUUUUCUGGCCUCCUUAUUUACCCUCUUUGGGGCUUUCUCUCUCACUUUGCCUCUUCCCAGUGGUCUUUUCUCUCUCCCUUUCUUCUCAAUUCCACAUUUUCUAAGUAGUAUUAGCUUAGUUCCAGACCUCCAAUACAGCUAGCCAGCUACGAUCGAGAUAAAUGAGUGCAGUUGGGAUCAGCUCAGCCGUACAAGUUGUGCACACUCCUAUACGACGACCUUUCGAUACACACUUCAUUUAAAACGUUUAUUUAGUUAAUCAGUGUGGUACAGAUAAUAAACUGCCCGUCACCACCACCACUACCUCGUCUUCAGAGUGA
ensembl:lncRNA